rnacentral:rRNA from 1 species
UAGUAACUGCGAGUGAAGCGGGAAGAGCUCAAAUUUUGAAUCUGGCGGUCCUCGUGGUCGUCCGAGUUGUAAUCUAGAGAAGCGUUUUCCGCGCUGGACCGUGUACAAGUCUCCUGGAACGGAGCGUCAUAGAGGGUGAGAAUCCCGUCUCUGACACGGACUACCAGGGCUUUUGUGAUGCGCUCUCGACGAGUCGAGUUGUUUGGGAAUGCAGCUCAAAUUGGGUGGUAAAUUCCAUCUAAAGCUAAAUACAGGCGAGAGACCGAUAGCGAACAAGUACCGUGAGGGAAAGAUGAAAAGGACUUUGGAAAGAGAGUUAAACAGUACGUGAAAUUGCUGAAAGGGAAACGCUUGAAGUCAGUCGCGUUGGCCGGGGAUCAGCCUUGCAAUCUUGUUGGGUGCAUUUCCUGGUUGACGGGUCAGCAUCAAUUUUGACCGUCGGAGAAGGGUCGAGGGAAUGUGGCAUCCUUCGGGGUGUGUUAUAGCCUUUGAUCGUAUGCGACGGUUGGGAUUGAGGAACUCAGCAUGACCCCUCGUGGGUUUGGGGCUUCGGCUCACAUCCAUGCUUAGGAUGCUGGCAUAAUGGCUUUAAGCGACCCGUCUUGAAACACGGACCAAGGAGUCUAACAUGCCCGCGAGUGUUUGGGUGUUUAAAACCCGAGCGCGUAAUGAAAGUGAAAGUUGAGACCUCUGUCGUGGAGGGCAUCGACGCCCGGACCAGAACUUUUGUGACGGCCCUGCGGUAGAGCGUGUAUGUUGGGACCCGAAAGAUGGUGAACUAUGCCUGAAUAGGGUGAAGCCAGAGGAAACUCUGG